CUUAUUUCGAAAACCUAAAAUUUCUCUCUAAAUUUCCUUCUCCUCUUGCGACGGCGCCGAGUUCCUUCUCCAAGCGAUUUCUGCUCGGGCGAAAGAGGCGGCGGAGCUAAGUUUCCUUUCUUCGGCGCCGGCCAAGGGGUGUUCCCGCGAGAUCCUCACACGUUCGUGGCCAUCUCGUCGAUGGGAGCACGCGGACGUGAGGAAACGCCGGAUUUGGAGCUCACCCGAAACCCUAGCACCUCUCUUUUUCGGUUGUAAGUCCAAGAAAAUGAAGAUAAAGGGAAAGAAAAGAUACAGUGAAGGAAGGCGAUAAGGAGAUGCAAGAGGAGUGUGUGAUGUGUGGACUAUGGAGGUCCUUGGGACUUAGCUAAAGAACUCAUUUAGUUUAAGAAUUUGUUUAGUUUAAUUUCUUAUUAAGUUGAUAAGAGAAUUAUGUAGUAAGAGGUUAUGUCUUCGGUUUUUCAUUAUCUGCAUGAUUUGAAUUAUUAAA